CUGUGAGUUUUCUGAGAGUGUCUCAUAUCUAAAACUCUUUCUUCUACUUCUCAUCUUUGGAAGAAUCUAAAUUAAGAAGAAAGAGGCAUCUGAUCGACCAUCGAAGAAGGAUCAGCACAGUACUAGCAUAUUGUGCUGAUUUCUUGGAUCAGGACUUCUGAUCGUGAUUCAUGGGCUCGUGUGGACAACUCUUAGAGGUCGGAUGUAUGUACGGC
rnacentral:lncRNA from 1 species